ACGCUAGCUAUAGGCUUAACACAUGCAAGUCGAGGGGAAACGGCAUUAUGUGCUUGCACAUUUUGGACGUCGACCGGCGCACGGGUGAGCAUCGCGUAUCCAACCUGCCCUUUACUUGGGGAUACCCCGUUGAAAGACGGCCUAAUACCCGAUGUAGUUCAUUGAUGGCAUCAGAUAUGAAUAAAAGAUUUAUCGGUAAAGGAUGGGGAUGCGUCUGAUUAGCUUGUUGGUGAGGUAAAGGCUCACCAAGGCGACGAUCAGUAGGGGUUCUGAGAGGAAGGUCCCCCACAUUGGAACUGAGACACGGUCCAAACUCCUACGGGAGGCAGCAGUGAGGAAUAUUGGUCAAUGGGCGCAAGCCUGAACCAGCCAAGUAGCGUGCAGGAAGACGGCCCUAUGGGUUGUAAACUGCUUUUAUACGAGAAUAAUUUGAUGCACGUGUGCGUUAUUGCAUGUAUCGUAUGAAUAAGGACCGGCUAAUUCCGUGCCAGCAGCCGCGGUAAUACGGAAGGUCCAGGCGUUAUCCGGAUUUAUUGGGUUUAAAGGGAGUGUAGGCGGUUUGUUAAGCGUGUUGUGAAAUUUAGGUGCUCAACAUUUAACUUGCAGCGCGAACUGUCAGACUUGAGUACACGCAACGUAUGCGGAAUUCAUGGUGUAGCGGUGAAAUGCUUAGAUAUCAUGAAGAACUCCGAUUGCGAAGGCAGCAUACGGGAGUGUAACUGACGCUUAAGCUCGAAGGUGCGGGUAUCGAACAGGAUUAGAUACCCUGGUAGUCCGCACAGUAAACGAUGGAUGCCCGCUGUUAGCGCCUGGCGUUAGCGGCUAAGCGAAAGCAUUAAGCAUCCCACCUGGGGAGUACGCCGGCAACGGUGAAACUCAAAGGAAUUGACGGGGGCCCGCACAAGCGGA
rnacentral:rRNA from 1 species